ACAGAGGUGGCGAGCGUUACUCGGAUUUAUUGGGUGUAAAGGGCACGUAGGCGUCUUGACAAGUUAGGGGUGAAAUCCUGCAGCUUAACUGCAGAACUGCUCUUAAAACUGUUGAGAUUGAGACUGGAAGAGGAAAGCGGAAUUCUCGGUGUAAGAGUGAAAUCUGUAGAUAUCGAGAGGAACACCAGUGGCGAAGGCGGCUUUCUGGUCCAGUACUGACGCUGAGUUUCGAAAGCUAGGGGAGCAAACAG
rnacentral:rRNA from 1 species